GAUGAACGCUGGCGGCGUGCCUAAUACAUGCAAGUCGAGCGAACAGAUAAUGAGCUUGCGCCUUUGACGUUAGCGGCGGACGUGUGAGUAACACGUGUGUCACCUACCUAUAAUACUGGGAAAACUUCGGGAAAGCGGAGCUAAUACCGUAUAAGAUUUCGAACCGCGGGGUUCGAUAGUGAAAUAUGGUUGUUCUGUCACGACUAGAGGGACCCCGGCGGUAUUGGGUUGUUGGUAAGGUAAAGGCUUUCCAAGGGGAGGAGUCGUAGCCGACGUGCGUGGGUGGUAGCCCGCAUUGGAAGGUAGCCACGCACAUGGGUACUGCGGUAGGCAGCAGUAGGGAACGUGACGCAACGGGGGGAAGUAUGACGGAGCAGCGCCGCGUGAGUGACGAAGGUCUUCGGAUCGUAAAAAUCUGUUACUGGGGAAGAACAGCUGUCUAAGGAAAUGUGGCGGGCUUGACGGUAAUUAGUAAGAAAGCAACGGCUAACUACGUG
rnacentral:rRNA from 1 species